AGUACCUACGGGGGGCAGCAGUGAGGAAUAUUGGUCAAUGGGCGGGAGCCUGAACCAGCCAAGCCGCGUGAAGGAAGAAGGCGCCAGGCGUCGUAAACUUCUUUUGUCGGGGAGCAAAGCGAACCACGUGUGGUUCAUUGAGAGUACCCGAAGAAAAAGCAUCGGCUAACUCCGUGCCAGCAGCCGCGGUAAUACGGAGGAUGCGAGCGUUAUCCGGAUUUAUUGGGUUUAAAGGGUGCGCAGGCGGAGGUGCAAGUCAGCGGUCAAAUUGC
rnacentral:rRNA from 1 species